rnacentral:rRNA from 1 species
CCUACGGGGGGCUGCAGUAAGGAAUAUUGCACAAUGGGGGAAACCCAGAUGCAGCAACGCCGCGUGAGCGAAGAAGGCCUUCGGGUCGUAAAGCUCUUUUCUGGGGGAUGAGGAAGGACGGUACCCCAGGAAUAAGUCUCGGCUAACUACGUGCCAGCAGCCGCGGUAAAACGUAGGAGGCGAGCGUUAUCCGGAUUCACUGGGCGUAAAGGGCAAGUAGGCGGUUGUCUAAGUUGGGCGUGACAACUCCCGGCUCAACUGGGAGAGGUCGUUCAAUACUGGAUGACUGGAGGGCAGGAGAGGAAAGUGGAAUUCCUGGUGUAGCGGUGGAAUGCUCAGAUACCAGGAGGAACACCAGUGGCGAAGGCGGCUUUCUGGCCUGCACCUGACGCUGAGAGGCGAAAGCUAGGGGAGCGAACGGGCUUAGAUACCCUGGUAGUC